AUACAGAGGGUGCGAGCGUUAAUCGGAAUUACUGGGCGUAAAGCGCGCGUAGGCGGUUUGAUAAGUCGGAUGAGAAAGCCCUGAGCUUAACUUGGGAACUGCAUUCGAAACUGAGUAGCUAGAGUCUGAUAGAGGGAAGUGGAAUUCCGGGUGUAGCGGUGAAAUGCGUAGAUAUCCGGAGGAACACCAGUGGCGAAGGCGGCUUCCUGGAUCAAGACUGACGCUGAGGCUCGAAAGCGUGGGGAGCAAACAGGAUUAGAAACCCCAGUAGUCC
rnacentral:rRNA from 1 species